rnacentral:rRNA from 2 species
UUAGAUGUCCGGGGCCGCACGCGCGCUACACUGAAGGAAUCAGCGUGUGCUCUCCCGGUCCGGCAGGACUGGGUAACCCGCUGAACCUCCUUCGUGAUAGGGAUAGGGGCUUGUAAUUGUUCCCCUUGAACGAGGAAUUCCUAGUAGGCGCGAGUCAUCAGCUCGCGUCGACUCGGUCCCUGCCCUUUGUACUCACCGCCCGUCGCUACAAGCGAUUGAAUGAUUUAGUGAGGUCUUCGGACUGGCGCUCGGAGCGGCCUCGCGCCGGGCCGAAGUGCCGGAAAGAUGACCGAACUUGAUCAUUUAGAGCAUGUAAAAGUCGUAACAAGGUUU